ACGGCCGUACCAUGCUGAAUAUACCGGUUCUCGUUAGAUCACCGAAGUCAAGCAUCAUUGGGCGCGGUCAGUACUUGGGUGGGUGACCACCUGGAAACACCGCGUACCGUU
rnacentral:rRNA from 1 species